rnacentral:pre_miRNA from 1 species
AUGGUUACCCUUACAAAAACACUGACUUUGGUUCUCAAUACAGUAAGUGCUUUUUGUUGGUGUAGUUUUG